GGGCCCGUAGCCUAGCCUGGACAGGGCGCAGAAAAAGCGUAAGCCUUCGGAGCCUGAGGUCGAGGGUUCAAAUCCCCCCGGGCCCGCCA
rnacentral:tRNA from 1 species